GCCAACGGCCAUACCAUGCUGAAAACACCGGUUCUCAUCUGAUCACCGCAGUUAAGCAGCAUUGGGCGUGGUUAGUACUUGGAUGGUCUAGCGGUUAGAACGCUGUCCUUGUAAUCC
rnacentral:rRNA from 1 species